UACGUAGGGUGCGAGCGUUAAUCGGAAUUACUGGGCGUAAAGCGUGCGCAGGUGGUUCGUUAAGACAGAUGUGAAAUCCCCGGGCUCAACCUGGGAACUGCGUUUGUGACUGGCGAGCUAGAGUGCGGCAGAGGGGGGUAGAACUCCACGUGUAGCAGUGAAAUGCGUAGAGAUGUGGAGGAAUACCGAUGGCGAAGGCAGCCCCCUGGGUCGACACUGACGCUCAUGCACGAAAGCGUGGGGAGCAAACAGG
rnacentral:rRNA from 1 species